GAGUUUGAUUAUGGCUCAGAUUGAACGCUGGCGGCAUGCUUUACACAUGCAAGUCGAACGGCAGCACAAGGAGCUUGCUUCUGGGUGGCGAGUGGCGAACGGGUGAGUAAUGUAUCGGAACGUGCCUGGUAGUGGGGGAUAACCACUCGAAAGAGUGGCUAAUACCGCAUGAGAUCUCUGGAUGAAAGCGGGGGACCUUUGGGCCUCGCGCUAUCGGAGCGGCCGAUAUCAGAUUAGGUUGUUGGUGGGGUAAAGGCCUACCAAGCCUGCGAUCUGUAGCUGGUCUGAGAGGACGACCAGCCACACUGGGACUGAGACACGGCCCAGACUCCUACGGGAGGCAGCAGUGGGGAAUUUUGGACAAUGGGCGCAAGCCUGAUCCAGCAAUGCCGCGUGCAGGACGAAGGCCCUCGGGUUGUAAACUGCUUUUGUACAGAACGAAAAGUUCUCUGGCUAAUAUUCUGGGGAACAUGACG
rnacentral:rRNA from 1 species